UUGGGAAGUAAACUCUCGUGCUUGCUAAAUCGAACUUCGCUUCUCCAUUCUCAUGCUACCAGCUUUGGAUUUAAGCAAGUACCAGAAGACGAAAAAAGCAAAUUGGUUGGUAAUGUAUUCAGUAGUGUUGCUUCAAGCUACGAUCUCAUGAACGAUUUGAUGAGUGCUGGAUUACAUAGAUUGUGGAAAGACAGGUUGGUUUCCAAGCUUCAUCCG